UUUAAACGACACCCACCUCCUUCGUUCUUAUCCUUCCCUCACGAAGCACACUUGCUUAUUCGUCGUAGUCAGAGAACGUCUCACGUCACCGGAGAUCGAAGCCCGCCGGAGACGAAGACGGCGUCGGGGUUCCAACCGGAGAGUCCCGAAGUCGCUAGUGGAACCGAACCACAGCUCACCGGAGACUCGGAGAAGACAGACGGGACACACGUCGUCACCGGAGAAAUAGCCGCGACCGCCCGAGUCACCACACGUAUUCGGAUAAACACUCUCGUUUCGCUCGUUCCUUUGGAUUUCUAAAUCUCUUGCGCUCUCUUGCAAAUCUUUUGGAUAAUCUCAAUCUCUUCUCACUUUCCAAGAGACGCAACGCAAUCAAAGGAUGAUUUAUCAAGAUAUAAGAAAGCAAGCUAGGACGGCCUAGAAACUCAUUUUAGAAAUAAACUAUUGUCUGAAUUUAUAUUUGGAUGUUUGAAACUUUGUAUUAUCCUUUAGAAUCUAAUAAAAUGAUUUAAUUUA